rnacentral:rRNA from 1 species
AUUGAACGCUGGCGGCAGGCCUAACACAUGCAAGUCGAACGGUAACAGGAAACAGCUUGCUGUUUCGCUGACGAGUGGCGGACGGGUGAGUAAUGUCUGGGAAACUGCCUGAUGGAGGGGGAUAACUACUGGAAACGGUAGCUAAUACCGCAUAACGUCGCAAGACCAAAGAGGGGGACCUUCGGGCCUCUUGCCAUCGGAUGUGCCCAGAUGGGAUUAGCUAGUAGGUGGGGUAACGGCUCACCUAGGCGACGAUCCCUAGCUGGUCUGAGAGGAUGACCAGCCACACUGGAACUGAGACACGGUCCAGACUCCUACGGGAGGCAGCAGUGGGGAAUAUUGCACAAUGGGCGCAAGCCUGAUGCAGCCAUGCCGCGUGUAUGAAGAAGGCCUUCGGGUUGUAAAGUACUUUCAGCGGGGAGGAAGGGAGUAAAGUUAAUACCUUUACUCACUGACGUUACCCGCAGAAGAAGCACCGGCUAACUCCGUG